GACGAACGCUGGCGGCGUGCUUAACACAUGCAAGUCGAACGAGAUCCAUUCAGUAGCAAUACUGAUGAAGAUCUAGUGGCGAACGGGUGCGUAACACGUGAGGAACUUGUCCCGGUCUCUGGGAUAACAGUUGGAAACGACUGCUAAUACCGGAUGACGUCGGAACUUCGCAUGGAGUACUGACGAAAGGGUUACUGGAUCGGGAGAGCCUCGCGGCCUAUCAGCUUGUUGGUGGGGUAAUGGCCUACCAAGGCAUCGACGGGUAGCUGGUCUGAGAGGAUGAUCAGCCACACUGGGACUGAGACACGGCCCAGACUCCUACGGGAGGCAGCAGUGGGGAAUCUUGCACAAUGGGCGAAAGCCUGAUGCAGCAACGCCGCGUGCGGGAAGAAGGCCCUCGGGUUGUAAACCGCUUUCAGAAGGAACGAAACUGACGGUACUUUCAGAAGAAGGUGCGGCCAACUACGUGCCAGCAGCCGCGGUGACACGUAGGCACCAAGCGUUGUCCGGAUUUAUUGGGCGUAAAGAGCUCGUAGGCGGUUCAGUAAGUCGGGUGUGAAAACUUUGGGCUUAACCCAAAGCGUGCAUCCGAUACUGCUGUGACUUGAGUACGGUAGGGGAGCGGGGAAUUCCUAGUGUAGCGGUGAAAUGCGCAGAUAUUAGGAGGAACACCGGUGGCGAAGGCGCCGCUCUGGGCCGAAACUGACGCUGAGGAGCGAAAGCAUGGGUAGCAAACAGGAUUAGAUACCCUGGUAGUCCAUGCCGUAAACGUUGGGCACUAGGUGUGGGUUCCAACCAACGGAAUCCGCGCCGUCGCUAACGCAUUAAGUGCCCCGCCUGGGGAGUACGGCCGCAAGGUUAAAACUC
rnacentral:rRNA from 1 species